CAACGGGGAGGUCCCAGAGUACGAUAACUUUGUACUGAAUAGUCUUUGGUUCUAUCUAACAAUAGGAUGCCAACUCAUAUCCAGUCUCUUUGGUGUGGUGUGUAUUGAUGAAAAGGCUUCUGGAUACUUACCUCUGAGACCACUUUGCCAGCCAGAGCCUUGAAUGCUGAAGAGGACGGGUUGGCAAGAUCCGAGGUGAAUAUCUCAUCGAGACUGAACCGAAGAAUCAGGGUUCCUUCACUAGAAGAUGGAGGGUUAGUUAGUGCGACUGCAGUGGUGGUUGCUGAUGGAACAGCGGUGGUGGUGGUUGCUGACGGAACAGCGGUGGUGGUGGUUGCUGCCGGAACAGCGGUGGUGGUGGUUGCUGCCGGAACAGCGGUGGUGGUGGUUGCUGCCGGAACAGCGGUGGUGGUGGUUUUGGCCACUGCCGGAGGGGUCGUGGUGACAUCUGCAGUUGGAGCAGCAGUUGUUGCAGCGGAGGUGGUUGCAUUAGUCAUUGUAGUAGCGCCUGAAAAAUGCAACAUUCAAUGCAAUGUUUACAUUUUGCAAUUAAUAUUUUUUUUUUUUGAAAUAUUGGUCACAUACACGUGUUUAGCAGAUGUUACUGCGUGUGUAGCGAAAUGUUUGUGCUUCUGGUUCUGACAGUGCAGCAAUAUCUAACAAUUAAUAUCUAAAAAUUCCACAACAUAUUCCGAAAACACACAAAUCUAAGCAACGAAUGGAUUUAAGAAUAUAUAAAUAUAUGGGAGAGCAAUAUCAGAGUGGCAUAGACUAAGAAAACAGUAUAAUAUUAUAGAAUACCUUAAUAAACAUAUGAGAUGAAGUGCCUGAUCAGUUGUGUUUUGGGAUCUCAGGACAGAAUAAUAACAACAUAACUGUAUAUUUGAAUGUAUAUAUUUCCCAGUUGUCAGGGUCAUACCCAAAUUUUGGGGAACUGAUAUGAUUAAAAUUGAAACCAUUUGUGAGAAGAUGUAAUGUGAUUUUAGACUUCUUAACCAAGUCAGUGUAAGCACAGACAUUACGACAAAAGGAGGGAACACCCCUUUUCCCCCGAGUGCAUAAAACCCACUCGUGAGAAUGUACAAUUAGUCAAGAAAACGCAGGGACGGGAGUCCCCACGUUGAAAUGGCAACUACUCUAUAGAACAAGCAGACGGACAGUGUUGAACCGGACGUUGCGAAUGGUUAGGAAAUCUACAAAACUAAAGAUGCACACAUUCACAGUCUGCAACUGUAUAUGUGAAAUAGUCUAGGAAACUCGACCGAAGACGAGAGGAGAACAUUUCACAAUCAAACGACCGAAUUGUACUCUGAAAGAUCCAUUCUGGAGAACAUUUCCCUAUAGAACAACCAGUGGUACAUCUGACGUAUCCAUUGUAACAGAGCUACAACUAAGAAAGACUUUGAUCUCUGGUGGACACAGCCAGAGAAUUUCUGUCGACCGACUCUCCAGCAGACAGACCGAAGAUUUCGUCAAAGAGACAACAAGACAUACAGGCGUGAAUAUAUAUAUUGCAAUUCUUUUCAAAUGAGCGGCUGUUCAUGUGAAAAGUAUUAUCAUUUCAAUUAGCCUUUUUAUCAACUGUGUGUAGUGGGUCCCAUUAUGUCUUUCCCACUCUUUAUCUGUCCCCACCCCUGUCCAUUGUCUACCAAGCCGUCAUAUCGGUUUAGUCCACUAGGGACCCUUUAUUGCAUUGUUUUCGUAACCAAGAAGCAAGACGUCGGCGUCCGCAACAUGGCUGGUUUUCCUUUUGUUUCCUCUGGUUUUCCUUUUGUAGUCCAUGAUUGUCUGUAGACCCUGCCACAUACGCCGUUGAAUUGAGCCAUUGAAUUGUGAAUCCACUGUCUCUAUACUGACGUUUUGCCUGUUUGAUUGCCUUGUCGGAGGGAAUGACUACUCUGUUUGUAUUCUUCCAUAUUCCCAGUCACCUUCCAUGUUUAAAUGCGGUGGUUCGUGUUUUCUGUUUUACGCGAAUAGUGCCAUCUAUCCACGGUCUCUGGUUAGGGUUGGUUUUAAUAGUCACAGUGGGUACAAAAUUCCUAUACACUUCCUGAUAAACUCAGUUAUCGUUUUAGUUCGUCCAUAUUAUUCUUGGAAGCUACCCGGAAUAUAUCCCAAAACAGUCUUGAAGCAUGGAUUCCAAUUGGUCAGACCAGCAUUGAAUAGUGCUCAGCACGGGUAUUAACAGUUUGAGUUUCUGCCUAUAGGAAGGGAGCAGAAAAAUGGAGUUAUGGUCAGAUUUGCCGAAAGGAGGGCGGGGGAGGGACUGGUAUGCAUCCCGGAUGUUUGUAGUAACAGUGGUCUAGUGUUUUAGCAGCAUGAGUACAACAGUCAAAUUGCUGAUAGAAUUUAGGCAGCCUUUUUCUCAAAUUUGCUUCGUUCAAAUCUCCAGCUAAAAUAAAUGCAUCUUCAAGAUAUAUGGUUUCCAGUUUGCAUAAAGUCCAGUGAAGUUCCUUGAGGGCCAUCGUGGUAUCAGCUUGAGGGGGGAUAUACAUUUGAUUGUGAGGUAUUCUAGGUCAGGUGAACAAAAGGACUUGUAUGUUCCUCUAUGUUAUCACAAUUACAUAAUUUGUUGUUAAUCAUCAAACAUACAUCUCCUUCUUCCCAGCGAGAUGUUAAUUACUGUCGGUGCGAUGAACUGAUAAUGCAGAUUGCCUGACCAACUCCGACAGUAUAUCCCGAGAGAGCCAUGUUUCCGUGAAACAGAGUAUGUUGCAAUCCGUGAUGUCUCUCUGGAAAGAAACCCUUGCCCUAAUCUCGUCAACGUUGUUAAUCAGGGACUGAACAUUAGCAAAUAAUAUACUCUGGAGAGGUGUGUCAUGUGCGUGCCUUCUAAGAUGGACUAGAAGAACUCUCCGAGGACCCCUUUUUCACCGGCGUUGUUUUGGGUCAGCCUCUGGAAUCAGUUCAAUUGCCCUCGGUGGUGCAAACAAAGGAUCUGCUUGGGGAAAGUCGUAUUGCUGGUCGUAUGCUGGUAGUGCUGGUGAGUUACCGUCGCUCUGAUAUCUAAUAGUGCUUCCCAGCUGUAAUAAAUAACACGUACAUUUUCUGGGCUAACAAUGUGAGAAAAAAUACUGAAAAAAAAUUAACACUGCAAAGUUUCCUAAGAACGAGAAGCGAGGCAGCCCUAUCUUUCGGCGCCAUCUAGUGUUUUGAGUGUGUGAGAAUAGGUAAAGCGAUGUGUUGAUGAAUUGUCUUACGUGUGACCACAAUGGAGGAUGAAUUGAUAGGUAAUGUCAGGCCAGACGUGUUGGAAGUAAUGGCAGUUUGUAAGGUUUGUGCUACCAGGCUAUCGUUAGGCACUGAGCUGAUGUUGUUGAAUAUCAAUGUAGACUCCACCACAAUUGACCCUGACCUGAAAAUGAUAUGAGAAAUGUUAAGAACUUUUACAAGCGUUACUUCAGUAACAACCCACUCCCAAGGCAUACUAAAUAACAAUACUCAUUGAAAUGUUAUUUUUCUCCAUCAUCCACACUGUUUCAAAGUAUUUCAGAUGAUAAUCAUUUACCCACCUGAAACUAUUGACAACAGUUCGAAGGAAUCUGACUCCAAAUAGAGCCUUGAACAAAUU
ensembl:lncRNA